CUGCUGAGGAGUCCCAUAAUAGGACGAAACGGCCGUCCAGUGC
rfam:Schistosoma rodhaini strain Burundi genome assembly, scaffold: SROB_scaffold0011557